rnacentral:rRNA from 1 species
UCAGAUUGAACGCUGGCGGCGUGCUAACACAUGCAAGUCGCGCGUGAAAGGACUUCGGUCCGAGUAAAGCGGCGCACGGGUGAGUAACGCGUGGAUGAUCUACCCAUGAGUUAGGAAUAACGGCUGGAAACGGUCGCUAAUACCAAAUACGCUCCGAUUUCAACUUCGGGGGAAAGGUGGCCUCUGCUUGCAAGCUACUGCUCAUGGAUGAGUCCGCGUCCCAUUAGCUAGUUGGUGGGGUAACGGCCCACCAAGGCGACGAUGGGUAGCCGGUCUGAGAGGAUGACCGGCCACACUGGGACUGGAACACGGCCCAGACUCCUACGGGAGGCAGCAGUGGGGAAUAUUGCGCAAUGGGCGAAAGCCUGACGCAGCGACGCCGCGUGAGGGAUGAAGGUCCUCGGAUCGUAAACCUCUGUCAGGAGGGAAGAACCGCCACGGUGCUAAUCAGCCGUGGUCUGACGGUACCUCCAAAGGAAGCACCGGCUAACUCCGUGCCAGCAGCGGC